AACGUACGCUGGCGGCACGCCUAACACAUGCAAGUCGAACGAAGUAGCAAUACUUAGUGGCAGACGGGUGAGUAACAUGUAGGUAUCUGCCCUUUGGCCUGGAAUAACACGAGGAAACUUGUGCUAAUACCGGAUAAGUCUUUACGGAGAAAGCUUUAUGCACCAUUGGAUGAGCCUGCACUUGAUUAGUUUGUUGGUGGGGUAAUGGCCUACCAAGACUGUGAUCAAUAGCUGAUUUGAGAGGAUGAUCAGCCACAUUGGGACUGAGACACGGCCCAAACUCCUACGGGAGGCAGCAGUGGGGAAUCUUGCACAAUGGAGGAAACUCUGAUGCAGCGAUGCCGCGUGAGUGAAGAAGGCCCUUGGGUUGUAAAGCUCUUUCGUCGGGGAAGAAAAUGACUGUACCCGAAUAAGAAGGUCCGGCUAACUUCGUGCCAGCAGCCGCGGUAAUACGAAGGGACCUAGCGUAGUUCGGAAUUACUGGGCUUAAAGAGUUCGUAGGUGGUUGAAAAAGUUAGUGGUGAAAUCCCAGAGCUUAACUCUGGAACUGCCAUUAAAACUUUUCAGCUAGAGUAUGAUAGAGGAAAGCAGAAUUUCUAGUGUAGAGGUGAAAUUCGUAGAUAUUAGAAAGAAUACCAAUUGCGAAGGCAGCUUUCUGGAUCAUUACUGACACUGAGGAACAAAAGCAUGGGUAGCGAAGAGGAUUAGAUACCCUCGUAGUCCAUGCCGUAAACGAUGUGUGUUAGACGUUGGAAAUUUAUUUUCAGUGUCGCAGGGAAACCGAUAAACACACCGCCUGGGGAGUACGACCGCAAGGUUAAAACUCAAAUGAAUUGACGGGGACCCGCACAAGUAGUGGAGCAUGUGGUUUAAUUCGAAGAUACGCGCAGAACCUUACCAACACUUGACAUGUUCGUCGCGACUCUAAGAGAUUAGAGUUUUCGGUUCGGCCGGACGAAACACAGGUGCUGCAUGGCUGUCGUCAGCUCGUGUCGUGAGAUGUUGGGUUAAGUCCCGCAACGAGCGCAACCCUCACUUUUAGUUGCCAUCAUUAAGUUGGGCACUCUGAAAGAACUGCCAGUGAUAAGCUGGAGGAAGGUGGGGAUGACGUCAAGUCCUCAUGGCCCUUACGUGUUGGGCUACACACGUGCUACAAUGGUAUCUACAACAGGAAGCAAGACUGCGAAGUUAAGCAAAUCCCUAAAAGAUACCUCAGUUCGGAUUGCACUCUGCAACUCGAGUGCAUGAAGCUGGAAUUACUAGUAAUCGUGGAUCAGCGUGCCACGGUGAAUGCGUUCCCGGGUCU
rnacentral:rRNA from 1 species